AGUUCCAGGUAGCCACUGAAGGAUCUAGUCAUGGGAUCACUGCGCAGGCAGCAACCUCUAUGACUCCUGGUUGGGCACAGACUUUUCCUGCCGUACUCCUGAGAUCUGCCUAGUACAAAGGAUUUGCAGUCACCAAGACAAACGUGCUCACACCUAUGAGAGUAUUUCCAGAGAGGGUUAAUUAGCAGGGAGGGCACCAUCUCAGGGCUUGGGGUCCUGGACUGAAUAAAAAGGGAAAAUGGAGCUGAGCUAGCAGCAGCAUUUCUCACCCCCUGCUUCCUGACUGGAUACAUAGUGACCAGCUGCCUCAAGCUCGUGCUUCCAUGCCUUCUUCCCCGGACUCCUGUGAAGGGCCAUAACCCCACAAGGUGAACUCCAGCAAAAUCUCUUCCAUCCACUUUUCUUUUUGUUAGAACAAAGAAAAAAGUAACCAAUACAGAAAACUGAUACCGGGGAGUAGAGCUAUUGCUGGAUUAAACCUGACCAGGUGGUUCUUAGACCUUUGGAAUGGGGUGGGCGAGAGGAAAGCCCUAGAGUUCUCUGUGAAAAUAGAGAUUAAUGGGCCAUGAGAGAAAUGGAGGAGGGCCUGGCUCAUGAGGUCUCAGAGAGGUAAGGACUCUAUGGGCAACCAGGCUACAGGCCAUGUGUGUGACAUUCUGACAAAGAAUUUCAUCUUCAACCAUGCUUUGUCCAUGUCCCAAAAGCCUGAGUGAGGCUGAACUCAAAGGUAAUAAUAAGCUAACUGGUUUGGUGGAGGAUACUUCAAGACAGAAUAGCAGUCGGCUCGUGGCUCGGCCACUGUUGGCUCUUCUCAGAGACGGGAGCAGCAAGCUAUGAAAAGUGCAGCUCAGUGAGUAAGGGUGUGUAAAGUCCCACGAGGCCUUGCUGGGAAAGCAGCUGUUGUUGUUGUUAAAGACUUAACACCCUUAAAGGGAAACGUCAGAUCACCACCAGGACAACAGGCAAGGUACUGGCAACUCAAGAUUCCACCUAUGAAAGGCUCCCACUUGUAGACUGCAGAUCCAUUUGAAAGGAGGGAGCCUGGGUGGUAUGGAGUGGACCUGAAUGAAGACAGGCUAUGUGCUUCAGGAAGCAGAAGUGCAGGAGAGGGCCUGCCCGAGGCUCUGGAGCCCAGAUGAUGCCCCCGAAGCCCAGGUGCUGCAUCAAGACUUGGUGUUUAUCUGCCUGGGACACACUUUUGCUUUGGUUCAAUCUCACUGUGUUGUGCCUCUAAUCCUCGGUUUGUGUAUGUGCGUGUGCAUGUGCAUGCAUAUGUGUGUUCAGAUUCAUGUAGGUACCUAGAAGAGGGCAAAAGAGGGCGUUAGAUCUCUGGAGUUGAAACUACAGGCAACUGUGCGCUCUGUGUCAUGGGUGCUGGAAACUGAACUGUGGUCCUUUGUAAGAGCAGUAACUGUUGAGUCUCUGUCCCAUGUCCAAAUCCUCACCUUUGAAAUAGGAUCACUUAUUCUGUACCAUUGGAUAUUAGAAGUAUGUAACUUGUUUUUGUUCUUUUUUUUUCCUUUAUUUCACAGGGGCUUACAGUUAAAAGAUUGCCUGAGACUCAGCAGAGAGUCUUGCACUUAUGUCUUGGCGGAGGGAAUUGGAUCUGUGAAGGGUUUGCAGAUUUUUAGAGAUGGACUAAAUGCAUAUUGCUGCAUAAAAUGAGCAUGAGGCUUUCUAAGGUCAGAAUGUUACCAUUUAAAAGUGACGUGCUUGAGUGUCAAAUUAACAAGGGGUGGACUGAGAUGGUUGGUAUUGUCAACCUGGUAGGAUUCACGAUCACAAGAAGACAAAAUUCUGGCCAUGCCAUUAGGGUGUUUCCAGAAAAGUUUAAUUGAGAAGAGAAAACCCACCCUGAAUGUGAACAGGAGCAUCCCAUGGCUUAGGGUCCUGGAAUGAAUAAAACGGAGAAAGUGGGUGGAGAGCCAGCAUCCAGCGCUCCUGCUUCCUGACUGUGGACAGAAUCCAGCCAGCUCUCCUGCAUCCGAGGGUUUCCUCACCAUGAUGGAUCAUACCCUCAAGUUGUGAGCCAAAUAAACUCGUUCUUCC